UACAGAGGGUGCAAGCGUUAAUCGGAAUUACUGGGCGUAAAGGGCGCGUAGGCGGUUGAUUAAGUUAGAUGUGAAAUCCCUGGGCUUAACCUAGGAACUGCAUCUGAUACUGGUCAGCUAGAGUGCUGUAGAGGGUAGUGGAAUUUCCGGUGUAGCGGUGAAAUGCGUAGAUAUCGGAAGGAACACCAGUGGCGAAGGCGGCUACCUGGACAGACACUGACGCUGAGGCGCGAGAGCGUGGGGAGCAAACAGG
rnacentral:rRNA from 1 species